CCUACGGGGGGCAGCAGUGGGGAAUAUUGGACAAUGGGGGAAACCCUGAUCCAGCCAUGCCGCGUGUGUGAAGAAGGCCCUCGGGUUGUAAAGCACUUUCAGUGAGGAAGAACGCCUGGUGGUUAAUACCCAUCAGGAAAGACAUCACUCACAGAAGAAGCACCGGCUAACUCCGUGCCAGCAGCCGCGGUAAUACGGAGGGUGCGAGCGUUAAUCGGAAUUACUGGGCGUAAAGCGCGCGUAGGUGGCUUGAUAAGCCGGUUGUGAAAGCCCCGGGCUCAACCUGGGAACGGCAUCCGGAACUGUCAAGCUAGAGUGCAGGAGAGGAAGGUAGAAUUCCCGGUGUAGCGGUGAAAUGCGUAGAGAUCGGGAGGAAUACCAGUGGCGAAGGCGGCCUUCUGGACUGACACUGACACUGAGGUGCGAAAGCGUGGGUAGCAAACAGGAUUAGAUACCCUGGUAGUC
rnacentral:rRNA from 1 species